GCUGAAAUAGCUCAGUUGGGAGAGCGUUAGACUGAAGAUCUAAAGGUCCCUGGUUCCAUCCUGGGUUUCAGCA
rnacentral:tRNA from 1 species